CCAGCAGCUGCGGUAAUUCCAGCUCCAAUAGCGUAUAUUUAAGUUGCUGCAGUUAAAAAGCUCGUAGUUGGAUUUCGGGUGGGCCCUGCCGGUCCGCCGUUUCGGUGUGCACUUGCAGGUCCCACCUUGUUGCCGGGGACGUGCUCUUGAGUUCACGCUCGGGACACGGAGUCGGCGAGGUUACUUUGAGUAAAUUAGAGUGUUCAAAGCAGGCCUACGCUCUGAAUACAUUAGCAUGGAAUAACACGAUAGGACUCUGGCCUAUCUUGUUGGUCUGUAGGACAGGAGUAAUGAUUAAGAGGGACAGUCGGGGGCAUUCGUAUUUCAUUGUCAGAGGUGAAAUUCUUGGAUUUAUGAAAGACGAACUACUGCGAAAGCAUUUGCCAAGGAUGUUUUCA
rnacentral:rRNA from 1 species